rnacentral:ncRNA from 1 species
UCUUAUCAAGAGAGGCGGAGGGACUGGCCCGAUGAUGCCCGGCAACCAUUAAGCUUAUUUGACUGCUUAAUAAGGUGCCAAUUCCUGCAGGAGUAAAUUCCUGAAAGAUAAGA